CGGCAAUGGAGGAAACUCUGACCGAGCAACGCCGCGUGAACGAUGAAGUAUUUCGGUAUGUAAAGUUCUUUUAUUGAAGAAGAAAAAGUAGUGGAAAAACUAUAUUGACGUUAUUCAAUGAAUAAGCCCCGGCUAACUAUGUGCCAGCAGCCGCGGUAAGACAUAGGGGGCGAGCGUUAUCCGGAAUUAUUGGGCGUAAAGGGUGCGUAGGCUGUUAGAUAAGUCUAUAAUUUAAUUUCAGUGCUUAACGCUGUCUUGUUAUAGAAACUGUCUUGACUAGAGUGAGAUAGAGGCAAGCGGAAUUCCAUGUGUAGCGGUAAAAUGUGUAAAUAUAUGGAGGAACACCAGAAGCGUAGGCGGCUUGCUGGGUCUUUACUGACGCUGAGGCACGAAAGCGUGGGUAGCAAACAGGAUUAGAUACCCUGGUAGUCCACGCCGUAAACGAUGAGUACUAAGUGUCGGGGUAAAACUCGGUACUGAAGUUAACACAUUAAGUACUCCGCCUGAGUAGUACGUACGCAAGUAUGAAACUUAAAGGAAUUGACGGGACUCCGCACAAGCGGUGGAUCAUGUUGUUUAAUUCGAAGAUACACGAAAAAUCUUACCAGGUCUUGACAUACUCUGCAAAGCUAUAGAAAUAUAGUGGAGGUUAUCAGGGAUACAGGUGGUGCAUGGUUGUCGUCAGUUCGUGUCGUGAGAUGUUAGGUUAAGUCCUAAAACGAGCGCAACCCUUGUCGUUAAUUGCCAGCACGUAAUGGUGGGGACUUUAGCGAGACUGCCAAUUAAACAUUGGAGGAAGGUGAGGAUUACGUCAAAUCAUCAUGCCCCUUAUGAUCUGGGCUACAAACGUGAUACAAUGGCUGUGACAAAGAGUAGCUGAAA
rnacentral:rRNA from 1 species